UCAAAAUGACUCUCGGCAACGGAUAUCUCGGACCUCGCAUCGAUGAAGAAUGUAGCAAAAUGCGAUACUUGGUGUGAAUUGCAGAACCCCGUGAACCAUCGAGUCUUUGAAUGAAAGUUGCGCCCGAAGCCUUUAGGCCGAGGGCACGUCUGCCUGGGUGUCAU
rnacentral:rRNA from 1 species